GACGAACGCUGGCGGCGUGCUUAACACAUGCAAGUCGAACGGAAAGGCCCUGCUUUUGCGGGGUGCUCGAGUGGCGAACGGGGGAGUAACACGUGAGUAACCUGCCCCUGACUUAGGGAUAACUUCAGGAAACUGGGGCUAAUACCGGAUAGGAGCUCCUGCUGCAUGGUGGGGGUUGGAAAGAUUCGGCGGUGUGGGAUGGACUCGCGGCUUAUCAGCUGGUUGGUGGGGUAGGUGCUGACCAGGGCUAUGACGGGUAGGCCGCCUGAGAGGGUGGACAGCCACCUUGGGCCUGCGGUACGGCCCAGACGCCUACGGGACGCAGCAGUGGAGAGUAUUGCACAGUGGGCGGAAGCCUGAUGCAGCAACGCCGCGUGCGGGAUACCGGCCUUCGGGUUGUAAACCGCUGUCGACUGUGACGAAGCGAUAGUGACGGUAAUGAGUCAGAAAGCCCCGGCUAACUACGUG
rnacentral:rRNA from 1 species